rnacentral:rRNA from 1 species
GGCAGCGCGGGGCGGCAACGUCCUGGCGGCGACCGGCGGAAGGGUGCGUAACGCGUGAGCGACAUGCCCGUUGCCCGGGGACAACCGGUGGAAACGCCGACUAAUCCCCGAUGGGACGGAGGCCCUCAUGGGUCUCUGUUGAAAGUUACGGCGGCGACGGAUUGGCUCGCGUCCGAUUAGCUUGUUGGCGGGGUAACGGCCCACCAAGGCUACGAUCGGUAGGGGUUCUGAGAGGAAGGUCCCCCACAAUGGAACUGAGACACGGUCCAUACUCCUACGGGAGGCAGCAGUGAGGAAUAUUGGUCAAUGGGCGGAAGCCUGAACCAGCCAUGCCGCGUGCGGGAAGGAGGCCCUAUGGGCUGUGAACCGCUUUUGCCUGGGGGCAAUAAGGGCGUCGCGCACGUCCGAUGAGAGUACCAGGGGAAUAAGCAUCGGCUAACUCCGUGCCAGCAGCCGCGGUAAUACGGGGGAUGCGAGCGUUAUCCGGAUUCAUUGGGUUUAAAGGGUGCGUAGGCUGUGCGUCAAGUCAGGGGUGAAAUUCCGGGGCUCAACUCCGGGGCUGCCCUUGAUACUGUCGCGCUGGAGUGCGGAUGCCGCCGGAGGAAUGAGUGGUGUAGCGGUGAAAUGCUUAGAUAUCACUCAGAACACCGAUUGCGAAGGCAUCUGGCGAAUCCGUAACUGACGCUGAGGCACGAAAGCGUGGGGAUAGAACAGGAUUAGAUACCCUGGUAUUCCACGCCGUAAACGAUGAUGGCUAACCGCCGGCGACAUACUGUCGGUGGCCAAGCGAAAGCGAUAAGCCAUCCACCUGGGGAGUACGUCGGCAACGAUGCAACUCAAAGGAAUUGACGG